UACGUAGGGGGCUAGCGUUGUCCGGAAUCAUUGGGCGUAAAGAGCGUGUAGGCGGCCCGGUAAGUCCGCUGUAAAAGUCAAAGGCUCAACCUUUGAAUGUCAGUGGAUACUGCCGGGCUAGAGUCCGGAAGAGGCGAGUGGAACUCCCAGUGUAGAGGUGAAAUUCGUAGAUAUUGGGAAGAACACCGGUGGCGAAGGCGGCGACCUGGUCCGAUACUGACGCUGAGCGCGAAAGCGUGGGGAGCAAACAGG
rnacentral:rRNA from 1 species